AUGAACAAAGCUAGUGGAGGUGAUGGAAUUCCAGUGGAGCUAUUUCAAAUCCUGAAAGAUGAUGCUGUGAAAGUGCUGCACUCAAUAUGCCAGCAAAUUUGGAAAACUCAGCAGUGGCCACAGGACUGGAAAAGUUCAGUUUUCAUUCCAGUCCCAAAGAAAGGCUAUGCCAAAGAAUGCUCAAACUACCACACAAUUGCACUCAUCUCACAUGCUAGUAAAGUAAUGCUCAAAAUUCUCCAAGCCAGGCUUCAGCAAUACAUGAACUGUGAACUUCCUGAUGUUCAAGCUGGUUUUAGAAAAGGCAGAGGAACCAGAGAUCAAAUUGCCAACAUCCGCUGGAUCAUUGAAAAAGCAAGAGAGUUCCAGAAAAACAUCUAUUUCUGCUUUAUUGACUAUGCCAAAGCCUUUGACUGUGUGGAUCACAAUAAACUAUGGAAAAUUCUGAAAGAGAUAGGAAUACUAGACCACCUGACCUGCCUCUUGAGAAAUCUGUAUGCAGGCCAGGAAGCAGCAGUUAUAACUGGACAUGGAACAGACUGGUUCCAAAUAGGAAAAGGAGUACGUCACGGCUGUAUAUUGUCACCCUGCUUAUUUAACUUCUAUGCAGAGUACAUCAUGAGAAACGCUGGACUGGAAGAAACACAAGCUGGAAUCAAGAUUGCCAAGAGAAAUCUCAAUAACCUCAGAUAUGCAGAUGACACCACCCUUAUGGCAGAAAGUGAAGAGGAACUAAAAAGCCUCUUGAUGAAAAUGAAAGAGGAGAGUGAAAAAGUUGGCUUAAAGCUCAACAUUCAGAAAACGAAGAUCGUGGCAUCCGGUCCCAUCACUUCAUGGGAAAUAGAUGGGGAAACAGUGGAAACAGUGUCAGACUUCAUUUUUUGGGGCUCCAAAAUCACUGCAGAUGGUGAUUGCAGCCAUGAAAUUAAGACACUUACUCCUUGGAAGAAAAUUAUGACCAACCUAGAUAGUAUAUUCAAAAGCGGAGACAUUACUUUGCCGACUAAAGUCAGCCUAGUCAAGGCUAUGGUUUUUCCUGUGGUCAUGUAUGGAUGUGAGAGUUGGACUGUGAAGAAAGCUGAGUGCCGAAGAAUUGCUGCUUUUGAACUGUGGUGUUGGAGAAGACUCUUGAGAGUCCUUUGGACUGCAAGGAGAUCCAACCAGUCCAUUCUGAAGGAGAUCAGCCCUGGGAUUUCUUUGGAAGGAAUGAUGCUAAAGCUGAAACUCCAGUACUUUGGCCACCUGAUGUGA
rnacentral:lncRNA from 1 species